rnacentral:rRNA from 1 species
ACAAGCGGUGGAGCAUGUGGUUUAAUUCGAUGCAACGCGAAGAACCUUUACCUGGUCUUGACAUCCACGGAAGUUUUCAGAGAUGAGAAUGUGCCUUCGGGAACCGUGAGACAGGUGCUGCAUGGCUGUCGUCAGCUCGUGUUGUGAAAUGUUGGGUUAAGUCCCGCAACGAGCGCAACCCUUAUCCUUUGUUGCCAGCGGUCCGGCCGGGAACUCAAAGGAGACUGCCGGUGACAAACCGGAGGAAGGUGGGGAUGACGUCAAGUCAUCAUGGCCCCUAUGUCCAGGGCUACACACGUGCUACAAUGGGCGAUACAGAGUGACGCGAAGCCGCGAGGUGGAGCAAAUCGCAGAAAAUCGCUCUCAGUUCGGAUUGGAGUCUGAAACCCGACUCCAUGAAGGUGGAAUCGCUAGUAAUCGCGCAUCAGCAUGGCGCGGUGAAUACGUUCCCGGGCCUU